AUAGUACUCCCUCCGUUCGGAAUUAUUUGUCGUAGAAAUGGAUGUAUCUAGACGUAUUUUAGUUCUAGAUAUAUCCAUUUUCGAGACAAGUAAUUCCGAACGGAGGGAGUAGCAC
rnacentral:pre_miRNA from 1 species